UCCUGAAAGUCCACACCCCCUUGAGUCUUAUUAACACACACAGACUCUGCUCAGUUUGAACUGGAUUACUCAUUAGACUGCUUAAAUCAGCAUGACUUCAGUAAUGGUUUUAUGUCCUCUGAGAGUGCAAUGAAACGUGCACUCCUUUAAAUCGAUGACUUCAAACAUCUGGUAUUCCCAUCCUGUCACUGCCACAGACGGAGGGCAGACCAUUGGGUGUCUUCUAGAAAGAGCUGCACCCAACGCCAGACCAUAAGAUUCUAUAUGACGACACUGAACCACCAGCAGCGUUCUAAUUCAAAACAGAUCAAGAUCGCACGGUAUAGGAUUUCUCCUACUAUUACAGUUUUUGAACUAUUGUUCCAUCGUUUUUAAGUUGAGUGUUUCUAUUUCUCGCUAAAUCUCCACAUAACAACUGGAUAACAACAACUGGAUUUGAAGAUGAACCUCAACAGGAACCAAAGCAGACAAAUUUGAAGUUAAGCUAUUCAGAUCUGUGUUUUGAAUCUUUGAUAUUUGACUGUGACUGUGAAAGAUUGACAAAACACUUGUUUUAGUGCAGUUCACUUGAAUAAGUAGUGGGUAAAAUUAUGAUAAAUAUAAAGUUUUAAUAAUAAAAAAAGCAGUGCUUUAUCGAUUGUUACAUUGUCAUACAGUAUGAACAUAUGAUAUUCUAACAGAAAACUCAAAAGCUCCAGAGGCAGAUCCUGUAUUGUCAUUCCAGAUUAAAAUACAGAAAGAAUAGUGAAGUUCACUGCCUGAAUGUUGAAAUCUGAGGAGACAAAUAGACUGUCCGUUGAGGUAAAAUCUAAAGUCUGGUAAAUGCCAGAUUAAGAAAAACACAGGGACGUUCAGUCUGUGCAUUGAGGUAAAAUAAAACUCUGGUUAGAGUCAGAAUAAAAAUAAAAAAAGCACAGGUGAGUUAUAUUUCUCAAAACAUAUUUGCUGAAUAACCUGUUGUUUGAAUUGAUACUGUAUAUAUAUUUUCUCAUUCAUAGGGAUGGCAACUGCUUGGAUGUUGUGAGAGGAAAUUGGCUUCAGACGAUGGUAGUCUUGAAGUGUGAGGAACUACCCGAUCACCCUAACCAUCCAUUGUAUUAUCCACCAGCAAACCUUCUCUUUGAAAUGCUGUAAAUCAACCCUGAUCCUUCCAAAUCGUUUGACUGUAACAGGAAUGACUGGGAGAAGUCUGGGUCAAGCAGGAUGCAGCACCUUUCUCACGGUUAUGCUCCACUAAACCUCAUCGGACUAUCCUUUCUUGUCAGAUCUGUGAGAGGACAGGCUAAAAAUUGGCAUCCAGCCAACCUGAGGAAUACUCAUAAGUUUUGUUGUGCACCCUGGUUUGUUUGAUACCAGAAUUUGGUUCCGCUGAAUGAUGUGAACGCUGUUUUCUGAACUCAGGUGCGCAUAUGCAAAAUGUUCCUUGUUCCUGGAAUAGUCUACAUUAUGUUUUUUUCAGACCAACUGAAUCAUCAGUCCGAUUAAUAAUUUGAUUAUUAGGUUGAAUUUUAAAUGUAGACAGUGACAGGCCAAAUGCAUGAAGCUGGAAUUGAAAUGCCUUAUCUUUGAAGACGAAUUUCAGUGACAGUAUCUGUCUUUCAGAUUCUCUGUUACAAACCUCUAAAAGAAAUCACACUGUUUAUAGUUGUUUAUACAGUAAAAAAAAAAGCCAGUGAACAGAAUUUUUACAGAAUGUUUGUAUUAUGUAAUCACAUUUCUCUGUCACCUUAUUUCUAAAUGUGGUGUCAUGUUUUUCACCAUACAAGUUAAAUUUUUAGGUGACACUUUUGUACCAAUCAAAACAGGCCUGUAAAACUGUGCUGAAGGUUUCCGCUGGUAUUUUUUUAACAUUGAAGUCAUCAUCUGAAAGGUUUCCAUAGUUCUGUGGCAAGCCUGAUUAUUGUAUAAUUGUCACACACAUGGACAGUUUUGUUCCUGUUCCGCAUGUCAAUUUGGAUUCCCUUUGUUUUUUUGUUAUUAAAAGUCUGUUUUUGAGCAA
ensembl:lncRNA